UACAGAGGUCUCAAGCGUUGUUCGGAUUCACUGGGCGUAAAGCGCACGUAGGCGGUUUGUUAAGUCAGGGGUGAAAUCCUGGAGCUCAACUCCAGAACUGCCUUUGAUACUGGCGAUCUCGAGUCCGGGAGAGGUGAGUGGAACUGCGAGUGUAGAGGUGAAAUUCGUAGAUAUUCGCAAGAACACCAGUGGCGAAGGCGGCUCACUGGCCCGGUACUGACGCUGAGGUGCGAAAGCGUGGGGAGCAAACAGG
rnacentral:rRNA from 1 species